UUUCAGGUUUGUGAUAUCAUAGAUUGCUAAUUGUAGCAAUAUUCAAACACCCAAAUGAAAAUUGUCAGAAGGAACUCGAGACAAUAAAUAGGCAGUAUCCAUUUGAACCUCUGAAGUACCUAGAGAAAACGUUGAAGCUAACGUACGAGGAAGGGAUUAAAAUGCUCAAGGAUUUUCGAUCCUAGCGGGAAAAGGAGGAAACGGCGGCGCCCUUGGGCGUCGUUAUCCUUCUUGAAGGCAUCUCGGAAGAGUUCAUCCACUCAUCUCUGGGGUGUGGGCAAGUUGGUGGUUCCAUUCUGGAAUCCUCUAGGCAGGGUGCUUGCAAUCCCCUACAUCUCGGCUGCAACAAAAAAGACCCAACGAGGUGCUAGAAGGAGAACUGGGUUGUGGUGGUGUUGCUGGUCGUUUUCCUUUUUACUUUUGCACUUUGGCCGUCAUAAACGACACAUGCUUGCUCCCCGGAUGGAUCUCUUUCUCUCCCUGGAUCUUUUAAACAGGUGUUGUGAUUAAAAUUGUGAUAAAUCAGUGUUCAUCACUAUUCUUUUUGGACUUGAAUAGAUCUAUGUCUAAAUUACACAUAAUGUGUAGGAGAAAAUUACUAUAGCUGGACUUUCAUGUCUUUCUUGAAUCCAUGGCAAAGCAUAGUCACCUUAACUAUGUUGCUUUGCACAUGUCUUCUCAUGGCCUUAUUAAAGAUCUUGUUUCCAUGGCUUUAAACACAGGAUGAUAUUUUUGUAGCAUAUUUCAUAUAAGUUUUCCUCCUAUAAGGCUAUAAUUUCAAAUUCAAGCCCACCCAACACACAAAGUUUCUAUCUUCUUAUUUUCUAUACAAGUAGUAGCUGGCGCAGCGGUGGUGUUGAUGAACGACACCCAAUGCAGAGGCGGCAGUUACCACAGGGAAGAGGUCAAGAACAUCUAGCUCUUGUGGUGUUCCUCCUCAUUGUUGUCAUCGCCAUCAACAGCAACAAUGACGACCGGCUCAUGAGACGGCUACUAGAGAGGGAGCGAGGAAGGGGGAGACAGAUCUUUCAGGUACAAUGGUACGACAACCAUGUUUUGAAAUAUCAAUGAGAUUUGGUGCUAAGUCAGCAUCGUGUUUUAUCCAAUCUAUCAAACACCAUAAGUUUCAUGUCGAAUGUGUUGUAGAAAUAUGUUCUUCCAUAAAUAUGGUUUUAGUCCUUCAUAUUUUAGUAUCGUUGUAAAUUUAUCCAUUCACAUAUCACUCUGAGAAACAUUUUUAAUUGGGGGAAGGAAGAAUGGAAGAAAAGAAGAGUGCUUUGACGUAAAAAAGAAGAAGUCGUCAAUAUAGCCCGUUGCAACGCACGGGCAUUCUACUAGGAGAUGCAAGUGAAGUGGAAUAAUGAAAAUACAUUGCAUCAAGUACAUUUCUCGAUUGUUACUGUAAAUUUUUUCUAUACAUGUGAAAUUGGAAGUGCAUUAUGCUUAUGUAUGCAAUCAGAAAAAAAAAAUUAAAAGGCCCGUGGCAACGCAUGGGCAUUGUACUAGGGAAACAAGACGAAUAGACAUGCAGACUAAGCUCCAUAUCCAAGGGAUUUUGGUAGUACAUGCCAUGUUUAUGCUCACUGUUGAAUAGUAUGUAUAUAACUAUUUAUGCAAUACUUAGACCAUAGGAGCAAUUCAUUCUGUAUAUUUUGCUGGGGAUUGUGCCUUGCAGUCAAUUUAUAGAAGGGUAAGAUGUAUCGCAAUAUGACUUGCAUUCUCUGUGAUGUCAAGUAAGAAAAUAGAAUAUAUACUCUUUGAAUUAUCUUUUCUUUUUUUCGAUGUCUCUAUCUUACUUCUAUAAUCCAAUUGGCAUUCGCUAGAGUUUCUGUUGAUGAAACAUUUGUUUUGUGAUGUGAGGAGGUUCUGUUUGUGACUUUGCAAUCAAUAUUCGUAGAUACGGUUCGUAGAUCAUGAUAUCUGCACAAUCUCAAUCUACUUCCUCUGACCAUUUAUUGUAUUAAUGGGUUGUGUCAGGGUUAUUUUAUCAACUACUGGGUUGUUGAUCUACAUUACGGUUUAAUUCUUACACGAAUUAAUGUUGACUCGAUUCUCUGUAGUAGGUUGAGAGGCUUCUCCUCUCAUGAUUUACUCUGAUUAGUUUGCCUGGCUCCGUGCUCCUCAUGAUU